AGAGUUUGAUCCUGGCUCAGGAUGAACGCUAGCGACAGGCUUAACACAUGCAAGUCGAGGGGCAGCGAGGGAGUGGCAACACUUCUGUCGGCGACCGGCGCACGGGUGAGUAACGCGUAUGCAACCUGCCCUUCACAGGGGGAUAACCGGGAGAAAUUCCGACUAAUACCGCAUACGUCCUUUGGGGGCAUCCCCGGGGGAUGAAAGAUUUAUCGGUGAAGGAUGGGCAUGCGUGAUAUUAGGUAGUUGGCGGGGCAACGGCCCACCAAGCCUACGAUAUCUAGGGGUUCUGAGAGGAAGGUCCCCCACAUUGGUACUGAGACACGGACCAAACUCCUACGGGAGGCAGCAGUGAGGAAUAUUGGUCAAUGGACGAGAGUCUGAACCAGCCAAGUCGCGUGAAGGAAGACGGAUCUAUGGUUUGUAAACUUCUUUAGUGCGGGAACAAAGCGGCGUCGUGACGCCGGAUGAGUGUACCGCAAGAAUAAGCAUCGGCUAACUCCGUGCCAGCAGCCGCGGUAAUACGGAGGAUGCGAGCGUUAUCCGGAUUUAUUGGGUUUAAAGGGAGCGCAGGCUGCGAGGCAAGUCAGCGGUCAAAUGUCGGGGCUCAACCCCGGCCUGCCGUUGAAACUGUCUUGCUAGAGUUCGAGUGAGGUAUGCGGAAUGCGUUGUGUAGCGGUGAAAUGCAUAGAUAUGACGCAGAACUCCGAUUGCGAAGGCAGCAUACCAACUCGCGACUGACGCUGAGGCUCGAAAGCGUGGGUAUCGAACAGGAUUAGAUACCCUGGUAGUCCACGCAGUAAACGAUGAAUACUAACUGUUCGGAGGGCGACCUCUGAGUGGUAAAGCGAAAGCGUUAAGUAUUCCACCUGGGGAGUACGCCGGCAACGGUGAAACUCAAAGGAAUUGACGGGGGCCC
rnacentral:rRNA from 1 species